GAUGAACGCUAGCGGCAGGCCUAACACAUGCAAGUCGAGGGGUAGAACACUUCGGUGUUUGAGACCGGCGCACGGGUGCGUAACGCGUAUGCAAUCUACCUUGUACAGGGGAAUAGCCCAGAGAAAUUUGGAUUAAUGCCCCAUAGUAUAUAACCUUCGCAUGUUGGUUAUAUUAAAGUUCCAACGGUACAAGAUGAGCAUGCGUCCCGUUAGUUAGUUGGUAAGGUAACGGCUUACCAAGACGAUGAUGGGUAGGGGUCAUGAGAGGGAGAUCCCCCACACUGGUACUGAGACACGGACCAGACUCCUACGGGAGGCAGCAGUGAGGAAUAUUGGUCAAUGGGCGCAAGCCUGAACCAGCCAUGCCGCGUGCAGGAAGACGGUCCUAUGGAUUGUAAACUGCUUUUAUACAGGAAGAAACAACUCUACGUGUAGAGUCUUGACGGUACUGUAGGAAUAAGGAUCGGCUAACUCCGUGCCAGCAGCCGCCGUAAAAC
rnacentral:rRNA from 1 species